GCAAAGAAGUGGGAGCAGAUUUCUGCCCUCAGGAAUUUAUCUCAGCUUUUCGUACAGGAGUAACAACCUUUAAACACGUGACCGUGUGCCAUCUUAGGUGUCACCUGGAAGAGCCAAGACCCCACUACUGGAAGAGAAUACACACUUCUUUCCAAGCACAUAAUCAAGGAAAACUCUCAGGCCACGGAUAUACCUUCAACUUGAGAUGAAAUUCAAGGAUGAGGACCCUUGCACUGGUAUGAGAUUGAACUAAACACCUAUAAAGCCACUUCCAAAUUUGAAACUCACUUUCUCAGGGCACCAGGUGGCAGCUCCAAGAAGAGGAAAAUCGUUUUCAGAGCUCCCUGCUGGCUCAAUCAACGCUUUUCAGUUCUCUUAAUGAGAUGGUUAAUCUCUUUUCUCAUUUAACCAAUUGGUCAACAAAACUUUGAUGGCUCUUACAGGAGUUGUUUUUGAUUUUCACUCAUACAAGUAUUAACGCCAUUGCUCUUAGAUUGACAAACGGGAAUUCAACUAAUCCUCCAGCUCUAGUUGGAAAUAUAUCCCCUUAUGGAUCUCUUACCCCAUACAUUCUGCUAAAUUCCUG